UACGUAGGGGGCAAGCGUUGUCCGGAAUUAUUGGGCGUAAAGCGCGCGCAGGCGGUUUCGUAAGUCUCGUGUUUAAUCCCGGGGCUCAACCUCGGUUCGCAUGGGAAACUGUGGAACGGGAGUGCAGGAGAGGAAAGUGGAAUUCCACGUGUAGCGGUGAAAUGCGUAGAGAUGUGGAGGAACACCAGUGGCGAAGGCGACUCUUUGGCCUAUAACUGACGCUGAGGCGCGAAAGCGUGGGGAGCAAACAGG
rnacentral:misc_RNA from 1 species